AGCGGGGUGGCAUAGUAGGGAGAUUUGACUGUACUUUCUAUACAGGCAGGCGCAGCCUCCACUCCCCCACACGUGUGUAUAUAUAUAUAGUGUCUCGGCACUCGAUCGCUGUGUCUCCUCGGGAAGUGAAGCUAGUGUGGUCUGUCGCUAUUGGAAAGCUCAAUCGACUGUUGUGGCCAGUUGACAGAGGGCAGGGUGUCCUGUACCACAAGUGAUGGGUGUGGCGGCCUGUGUCACGGUCUUGGUGUUGAUCACGCUCGUCUGCAUGGAAACAGUUUCUUGUAACCAAUGUCAGAGAGGGAAGGGAAUCUGUAGACCUCCAGGUCACUCGUGCAUGGGCAUGGUCCGUACAGGCUUGUGUCAAGAUUCAUCGCAUGUCUGCUGCUUGCCUCUCAGGCGUCCCACGUGCACGGUCGUGUACAAUGCAGAGUAUUGUCGACAUCACUCGCAUGUCUGCUGCUUUAAUUCCGAUCAUGAGGCAAGAAAGCGACGCAGCUCUGGACAAGACCUAGGUCAGUUCUGGACCCGAGUCAGAAGCUCUGCUUAGCGAAGAAGCAAAAGAAAAGACCACCAUCAAUAAAUUACGACACAAGAGCUGUUGUAGGUCUUGUCUCUCAGUUUUUAAUUACAGUUCUACAGAAUAUUGUCCUUCUAUGGAUCACAGCCUCGGUAAGCCGUGAUUUACACUCACAAGAAUUAAGAAUCGAAUAAUGACCCUUUCCUGGAGUACUGAAUAAUUAUAUAAUUUAGGUGUCAGUGCUACGAAAAUUAAAAGAUGUUG